UCCAAUGGGAGCCGAGGAGCCGUCGGUAGCGGCGGAGGCCUGUGACCCCGCUAGCUCCGGAGCUGGCAGGAGGGAAGCGUCCAGUAUAUUUGCGAGAUCGUGCUGAGGGCCCCUGACAUCUCUUCCGCCUGGCAGCAGCGGCGGCGCCGACGGCUGGAGGUGUCUGGUCAGCGGGUGGUGGAGGAUCGUACGGGUAGCCGAGGGAGGGCGAGUGCUCCUGAGAUCCCCAGACGGCGCGCCCAGGACAGCAAUGCUGGAUAGAGAAUUAAUAGUUGACAGUCUUUUUGUUACAUCAUUUUGAAGAUGUCAUCACACCAUCUUCUGACCUCCAUGGUAUCUGAUGAGGAAACAAACUUAUUGAAAGUCCCUUGUAUGUACUCCAGAACAAAAUGGCCAUGAUGGUGGACAUGGGCUCCACAAUAUGGACUUCCACCAACGCCAGUCUGGCUAUAGCCACUGGUGACUGCCCAACUCACCAACAGAAGAGAAAUACCAAGCAUAUGAUUACAGACACAAUACAAGACAAAAAGAAGUCAAUGGACCUCUGAAAUUCUACUGGCGGUAAGCAGAUUGGGCGAACUGCUUAGCUGCAAACAUGUGCUACUCUUAAUGAAAAAGGAAGGAAGGAAAGAAGGCACAGAUGAUGGAAGCAAGAGCCCAGAAGGCAGGGCAAAGAGCCAUUGAGAAUUAUUCCCAGACCUUGAAAUCUAAUCAAGGAACUUCUGUUUGCCCAGUUAGAUUUCAGAAUUAUUAUAGACCAGUAACUCCCUUGCCAUCUCCCAUUUCCCCCACCUUUUGAACAGGAAUAUCUGUAGCAGUUAUCCUAUGCCUGUUCCACCAUUGUGUGUUGGGUGUCUUGGGAACAGAUAACUUGCCUCUUAAGUUUCACAGAUCUAUACAUAGAGAAAAAUAGUAUUUAAAGAACCAUACUUAAGGAAUACACCCAAGGCACCUCAGUCACACCUGGACCUGAUUAAGAUAUUCUGAACUUUGAGGUCAUGCUGUAAUGGGAUGAGAUUUUUAGAGAACUUGGGAAGGGAUGAAUAUAUUUUGUAUGUGGAAGGAAUAUGAAUCAUUGGGGACCAAUGGUAAUCAGUCUCCGAGAUGGCCCCCAAUGUUCCUCACCUUCACUGUUGGCACCAUUGUGUAAAUCCCUCCCACUCAGUGUGGUCUGGACCUAGUGACUUACUUCUAAUGAAUAGACUACUGCAAAAGUGAUAGGUUAUAAAGAAUGACUUCUGUCUCGCACGUGGGCACACAUUAUCUCUCUCUCAUCUCACUUGAUUGCUCUGACAAAACAAGUUGCCCUAUGAAAAGAUCCACAUAGCAAGGAAUUGAGAGUGGUAUCUGGCCAAGAGCCAGCAAAAAAUACUGAAUCUUGCCAAUAACCCUGUGAGGGAGUUUGGAAACAGAUCCUUCUACAGUGGAGCCUUGAGAUCUACAGCCCUGGUUGACACUUUGAUUGCAGGCUGUGAGUGGCCCUGAAAUAGAAACUCUAUCCCACAGGAACUAUGAGAUAAAUGCUGUUUUAAGCCACUAUGGUUUUGAGGUAAUUUGUGACACAGCAGUACAUAAUACAGACAGGCAUGGAGUUUAUGCAGAACCUCAGCAACAGAGGCUUCUACCUACCAAGGCCAAUAUGUAUAGCACUGCUGAGUUCCCAGCCUACCAACAGCAGAGAUCAAUGCUGGGUUCCCACUAUGAACUACUUCCUGGUGGCAGACCACUUACUUUGGAAACCUUCUGACAGGCAGAGCUUAGAUUCACAGAAACAGUGAACAUCCCAGCCCUAUCAAGUUGAUAAUACCUGGGCCUGACCUGUUCUAGAGGUCUGUUUCCUAUGUGUCUAUCAAGGACUCUGAAAUAUCUCAUGUGGAACUUGGCACCCAGGAGGGAGUUCACAAGGGGCUGUUUCCCUUUGCUAGAAUAUGAGUGUUCUAGGGGAGGGAACCCAUUUCUCUGGCUUGGUAUCCCUUUUCUCUCACAAUUUCAGGUCUUCUUGGAAGCAUGCCUAAUGCCUGCCCAAUUGACCAUGGACCUCAAACCCAAUUACUACCACUAUAGAUUGCCAUCUGGAACUUUUUGCAAUGCAAAAAGGAGGUUCACAUGCACGGUAUGGGAUUCCAACUGCUGCUUCUGUCUGCCUUCUUCUGAGCCAACUUUGCAGGGUUCCUAGCCUAAAAGUGGGGAGGACUCAAGCCUGUGCCUCACCUUCCCUUCAGGAACUCCCAGUAUGGGGAACAGAGGGUAGGAGGAAACCCAUUAAUCCUAGUGUUUCAGACACCAUUUAAGGCACAGUGGAGGCACUAAUAGCAGGGGGGGGGGGUUCAGUUAAGCCUGAGAAACGGGAUAGUCCUCACUAAUGUGUCUUCCUAUCCCCUUGUCACCUGCAGACUAAAGAGACAUACUGAGGGGCAAAGUAGUAUCUGGGAUACAGAGCAGGGUGUCUCUAUAAAGUAGAAAAUAACUUUGAAGUGAGACAAUACUAAUGCCCUGGUUUCAUUCUCCUAUCCCCCACUCAGAUCUAAGGCUCCUGCAUCAGUUACCCCUCCCUUUCUAGGGGACUGCCUGGGAAAGGGACAGAUGUGGAACCAAAGGAAGUUCUCUAGUAGAGGUUAGAAUUAACCUGGGUCUUGCAGGAUGGCUACAGCCUUUUCUGUAGAAUUCAAGGGAUACAUGUCCACUGUAAAGGGGGCAUAAAGUAAGAGGGAUGGGGCAGGGCAGUGCCAAGGUGAGAAAGGGUGUCUGCCAAUCAGUGAGGGAUGGGCCCAUAAACUGAAAGACCCUCACCUCAGGCAAGCAGUUCUCUAGCCUGGGUCUUGCUGCAUCAUCUCUUCCUUUCCUGUCUGGCCACUUCUUCCAGUGGUUAGCUGCCUUGGAGUGGUGAUUAAUUGCCAAGAUUGAGCCCCUUUCUGUCCCUGUCCCAGGUCUUUCUUGUCUGUCAUUACCCUCUUUUCUUCAGGAUCAAUUUUAGACAGGUGGGCAGAUAAAAAGCCAGAUUUUUCCCUGGACUGGAACCUGGAAUAAAACUGGGCGACAGAGGGCUGAGACAAGCCCUCUCACCACUCAGAGCUGCCACAAGAGGGCGUGCUUUGUAAUUCAUCACCAGGUUCCUAUCACCUGGAAAUCCUGGGUAGGGAAAGAAAUAGAGCAAAUGGAACUCUCCAAACACACAGAUGAAAAAGGACAAAAUAGAGUGGCAAUGUGCUGUAUUCCUGGGCUAGGGAUCAGGACCUGGCCUUUAGCUUCUAAUACCUCUGUGCAGCCCCUUGAAAGGAGGGAAAGCCCUCUAGGAACCAAGCAUGAAGAGAAGCUGGUUGACUUAGCAGUUUCUAUGCUCUUGAUUCCUCCUCUAUGUCCUUAUGUCCUGAGCACAGAACACUCAGGACCACAAGGAAUGGUUCUUAGCCUCUGGAGGGUCAAGGAUCCUUUUAUGAAUCUGAUGCAAGUUGGUUAGUCUAUUUACCUGAAAAACACAUGCAGACACUCACAAAAACGUGUCAGUAAUCUCCAGGGGUGGUCCCUGAUCUAGCCCAGCACCCUCAUCUUAAAAGACUUCAAGGCUCAGAAGGGAAAAAUCCACCCAACUAUUGUAGGACCAUUAAUGGGCUUGAAAUGAUUAUGCCAAGUGAAAGAAGCCAAACACAAAGGAUCACAUAUUGCAUAAUUUCAUUUAUAUAAAAUGUCAAAAAUGAGCAAACAGGGGGAUGGGAAGGACACCUAAGGAGUGUGGAGUUUCUUUUGAGGGUGAUAAAAACAUUCUAGACUUUUUCGCAGCGAUGGUUGCACAACUCUGUGAAUAUACUAAAAGCCACUGAAUUGUACACUUUAAGUGGGUGAACUAUAUGGUAUGUGAAUUUUAUCUCAAUAAAGCAAAUAAAAAAAGUAAACUCAGGAAUUGCAAAUAGCCAACCACACAUUUGAGCUUUAGUCCCCAUUGAUCAGGGGCAGAAAGAACCAGUGGAGAAACAUCAGGGAUGAGUCCCUGAAUACGGCAUAUAGGUUAAACAGGAAAGCAUUCUAGAAAGAAUGACAUUAAAUAUAAUCUUUAUCUUAAGGGCAAUGAAGCAUCACAAAGUUUUAAGCAGUAGUGAUACGGUCAGAUCCAUACUGUAGAAACAACUAUCUGACAGAACAAAUCACAUAUUUCAAACAGGUGAAUUUUAAGCAUGAAGACUGUACCUCAAUAAAGCCAUGAAAAAAAAAAUUCCUCUGGGAACUAGAGGCUUAGAUGAGGGCACAAAGCUGGUGGAGGCUAUUGUGCUGGAGGUUAGGUGGGCAGGGCCAGAGCCCACCUGAUUGGAAUGUCUUGCCCAGGUUAAAGAGAAGCUGGUGGGACUAAGAUUCUGAACCCUGGGCUCCCUGUCCUCAGCCCCAGAAUCCUGCUAGCACUACAGCUGCUCCACUGACAGGCGAGGGAGGCACCAUUCUCCCCUUCGAAGAGAAAUGCACUUCAGAAACAUGUUUCCAAAAAACGUUGCUAAGGGUUUUAUUUCUAACAAGAGGAAAAUUAUAAUAAAAUAAAAUUAAAAUAGGCUUCA